CUUCUGCAGCUUCCCUCGCUUCCGAAUAUUUCAUCUCAAGACUAUGAGUAUCCAGUUGAAACUUGGGAAACAGUUGACACCAGAAGAUGUAUUCUAUCUGAGAAAUUCUAUCAUCAGUUUCCUAAUAAAAAGCAGGAUGCCUUAGGUUGGGAGACUUUUGGAGAUGGCCUUCCAUUUUCAGCACAAGUGAGAAUAAAGUGGCUACCUAUGAUAACAACUACGCAAAAUGAGUUCCUUUCUCACGCAUGAAUACUGAUAUAGCUUGAAUCUAAAACAAAAGAAGAUCUAAUUAGAAAAUCCAACAAAGAGUGGAGUGAGAGGGCGGUGAAGAAGAAGUUGACCUGAUGAACAACUAGAGUGGUUGAGUUGAGGCUAAGAAGAGAGCGGCGAGCACAAUUCCACGGCGGGGAGCUGAAGU